ACUCUUGUUUCUCUUCAGAUCAUACAAAUCUUUAGCCUUUAACUAAAGAUUUCCAUGGAAGGGAACAAAAAGAGAUCCUCUAUUUAUUUUUUUAUUUUUUUUUUUUUCCACAACAGGG